ensembl:lncRNA
GUGCUGUGGCACUGGCUGGGGACAAACUGCUGCAUGCGCAGCUCCUCGUUAGUAUAGUGGACAGUAUCUCCGCCUGUCACGCGGAAGACCGGGGUUCGAUUCCCCGACGGGGAGAGCUAGCUCUUUUCUGCUUGCUGGACGACCAAUCCAAAAGUUUUUUUGGCGCAACCACGGGCUCACAGAAGGAGUACGGCUACGAUGUCAGCCCGAGCCAAAGGAAAUGCGUUGGCCGGGAAUCGAACCCGGGUCAACUGCUUGGAAGGCAGCUAUGCUCACCACUAUACCACCAACGCAGGCAGAAGGUGCCAGAAAUACAGGUCACUCACAAAAGCUCCCCUUCACGGAAAUCUUUAGUAAAAGGCGAAAGAUUUAUGCGACAAUGAAGAGAAACUCGAGCUGUAUCCCCACCCCCUUGGGCCUGUGCGCUGCCAGUGGUAAGCCACUAUUCUCACCUAGGGUCAUCAAUGGUGAAGACACCUGCCCACAUGCAUUUCGUCACCCCCUCACUCCAAAGGGGAGGAGUAAAGGUCACAAAAAAUUCCCGUCAGUCACCUAAUGACCACAAGCCAAAUCAAUCAGAAUCAGAAUGAGCUUUAUUGCCAGGUAUGUUUUACACAUACGAGAAAUUUGUUUUUCGUGACAGAAGCAAAUCAAGGCAAUGCAAUCCCUUUCUCAUGCCUCCAUCUGAAAAGUUGGAGGAAAAAAUAAAUAAAUAAAAGAGUCCAAAUAAUGACCCCUAUAACAUAUAGUGUUCCAAAUGUUAAGCGACUUCAGCUUAUGAUGGGUCCAACUGGUAUUUUAUGGUGUAAGGGCUGUGUCGGCAUAAGAAAAAAAGCCAUGCUUUGUUUAGUGAUGUCAGUGCUGUGGCACUGGCUGGGGACAAACUGCUGCAUGCGCAGCUCCUCGUUAGUAUAGUGGACAGUAUCUCCGCCUGUCACGCGGAAGACCGGGGUUCGAUUCCCCGACGGGGAGAGCUAGCUCUUUUCUGCUUGCUGGACGACCAAUCCAAAAGUUUUUGGCGCAACCACGGCUCACAGAAGGAGUACGGCUACGAUGUCAGCCCGAGCCAAAGGAAAUGCGUUGGCCGGGAAUCGAACCCGGGUCAACUGCUUGGAAGGCAGCUAUGCUCACCACUAUACCACCAACGCAGGCAGAAGGUGCCAGAAAUAGAGGUCACUCACAAAAGCUCCCCUUCACGGAAAGACAGCUAUGCUCACCACUAUACCUCCGGCGCAGGCAGAAGACACCAACUUGCGCUGUCAGUAAGAAGGCUCGAAGCGCAUGAGUCAAUGAUAGGGCUAGAGGAGCUAAUGAGAUCUUUGUUUGGACCCGUCAGUAAAGAGAGCAGUCCAGAGUUUGGAUCCCGUCACGUACAAAAAGCGCUGUCUUUCCAUACUGGCUAAAUAAAUACAAAGUGGUGACGCCGGAAACACAGAGGCUGCAAACACAGACGAUGACCAGUUGCACGUCCUCCCACCGUGUGUUGGCAGAUGGCCAAAUUCACUCUGCUCUUGACAUUCCGGUGUAGCUCUGCUGUGAGCAGAGCCCCCAAAAAAAUACAGGUCACUCGCAAAAGCUCCCCUCCACGGAAAUCUUAGUAAAAGGCGAAAGAUUUAUGCGACAAUGAAGAGAAACUCGAGCUGUAUCCCCACCCCCCUUGGGCCUGUGCGCUGCCAGUGGUAAGCCACUAUUCUCACCUAGGGUCAUCAAUGGUGAAGACACCUGCCCACAUGCAUUUCGUCACCCCCUCACUCCAAAGGGGAGGAGUAAAGGUCACAAAAAAUUCCCGUCAGUCACCUAAUGACCACAAGCCAAAUCAAUCAGAAUCAGAAUGAGCUUUAUUGCCAGGUAUGUUUACACAUACGAGAAAUUUGUUUUCGUGACAGAAGCAAAUCAAGGCAAUGCAAUCCCUUUCUCAUGCCUCCAUCUGAAAAGUUGGAGGAAAAAAAUAAAUAAAUAAAAGAGUCCAAAUAAUGACCCCUAUAACAUAUAGUGUUCCAAAUGUUAAGCGACUUCAGCUUAUGAUGGGUCCAACUGGUAUUUUAUGGUGUAAGGGCUGUGUCGGCAUAAGAAAAAGCCAUGCUUUGUUUAGUGAUGUCAGUGCUGUGGCACUGGCUGGGGACAAACUGCUGCAUGCGCAGCUCCUCGUUAGUAUAGUGGACAGUAUCUCUGCCUGUCACGCGAAGGCCAGUCGCGGAUAGGUGUAGAACGCUGACUAGCCAAUAGGAACGAAGGAAAUUCCAGGGAGGCGGGACGAGUAAAAUACACACAAUUAGAGGUUCGAAUCCCGCCUCGGCCACAAAUACCAUAUAGUGAGUUCGUGUUCGUUUUUCAUCUAGAAACACUUUAAGUUCGAUUAGCAUAUAAUAAACGAACUUUGUGAACAAAGAUAAAAUCAAUCUUGUAAUAAUUGUUCAUUUGUAGGAUGUACAAAAUGUGCAACGAUCUUAAUAAACAUUUACAUUAUAAUAGGGAAUAGUUAUUUUUAAUAUAGAACAAUUUUAAUAAUUAAAAAGAACAUUUUGAUAAUGUUUCAGGCCUUUAUUUUUAAAGAGACAUUCAUUUUAUAUUUGUAUAACUGUGUACAGAAAACCCAUAUAUAUGAAAUAUAACC